AUGAUCUUCCCUGGGUAAGUCGGGGCCUAAGGCGAGGGCGAGAGCCGUAGUCGAUGGAUAACAGGUUGAAAUUCCUGUACUGCUUAUGGACAGAACUGUGGGGACGCAGAAGGAGAGCACGAGCCGGAAAUGGAAAAGCCGGUACAAGCGUAUAGCAGUCAUGCAGGCAAAACCGCAUGAAAAAUGUAAAGCGUUAUGUGGAUCGAACAUUAGUAGAGAAGCGUGUGAGCCAGCUGCCAAGAAAAGCCGCUAUUGCUUCAUAAGUACCCGUACCGUAAACCGACACAGGUGGAUGAGGAGAGAAUCCUAAGGCCGGCGGGAGAAGUGUUGUUAAGGAACUCGGCAAAAUGACUCCGUAACUUCGGGAGAAGGAGUGCCACAGAGAUGUGGCCGCAGAGAAAUGGCCCAAGCGACUGUUUAGCAAAAACACAGGUCUAUGCAAAACCGAAAGGUGAGGUAUAUGGGCUGACGCCUGCCCGGUGCUGGAAGGUUAAGAGGAGAGGUUAGAGCAAUCGAAGCUUUGAAUUUAAGCCCCAGUAAACGGCGGCCGUAACUAUAACGGUCCUAAGGUAGCGAAAUUCCUUGUCGGGUAAGUUCCGACCCGCACGAAAGGCGUAAUGAUUUGGGCACUGUCUCAACAACACACCCGGUGAAAUUGAAAUACCAGUGAAGAUGCUGGUUACCUGCGCCAGGACGGAAAGACCCCAUGGAGCUUUACUCCAGUUUGAUACUGGGAUUCGGUACUGUCUGUACAGGAUAGGUGGGAGGCUAGGAAAUGGUGACGCCAGUUGCCAUGGAGCCAACCUUGGGAUACCACCCUUACAGUACUGGGUUUCUAACCUGCAGCCGUGACCCGGCUGGGGGACAAUGUCUGACGGGGAGUUUGACUGGGGCGGUCGCCUCCGAAAGAGUAUCGGAGGCGCUCAAAGGUUCCCUCAGAACGGUUGGAAACCGUUCGAAGAGUGCAAAGGCAGAAGGGAGCUUGACUGCGACACCGACGGGUGGAGCAGAUACGAAAGUAGGACUUAGUGAUCCGGUGGUAUAAAGUGGGAUUGCCAUCGCUCAACGGAUAAAAGCUACCCUGGGAUAACAGGCUUAUCACUCCCAAGAGUUCACAUCGACGGAGUGGUUUGGCACCUCGAUGUCGGCUCAUCGCAUCCUGGAGCUGUAGCAGGUUCCAAGGGUUGGGCUGUUCGCCCAUUAAAGCGGUACGCGAGCUGGGUUCAGAACGUCGUGAGACAGUUCGGUCCCUAUCCGGCGUGGGCGUAGGAUAUUUGAGAGGAGCUGUCCUUAGUACGAGAGGACCGGGAUGGACAAACCUCUGGUGUAUCUGUUGUUUUACCAAAGGCAUGGCAGAGUAGCCAAGUUUGGCAGGGAUAAACGCUGAAGGCAUCUAAGCGUGAAGCCCCCCUCAAGAUAAGAUAUCCCAUCUUCGGAGUAAGACCCCUUGAAGACUACAAGGUUGAUAGGCUUCAGGUGUAAGUGUGGUAACGCACUCAGCUGAGAAGUACUAAUAGGUCGAGGACUUACC
rnacentral:rRNA from 1 species